GUUUUGCUCUGUUGGUGUUGUGAUUGUACUCUUAAAAACGAAUAAAUAAAUAACAAAAAAAAAAAAAAUAAAAAAAUAAAAAAAUGUCAGAUGCAGCAGAGGAGGUAGAGGCACCUGACGGAGAGCAGGUGGGGACCACUCCUGAGGCGUCCCGGCAGGAGCCUCCCCAUGGGAGCCGAUCCAUGGAGGAGCAGCACCAGCAGGGGAAGAAGAGAAAGCAGAAGACACGUGGUGGUCGCCGCGUCAACAAGAGAGCUCGCCUUUCUAAUGAAGAGUCUCACGCUGGUGAGCGACCACCAGGAGCAGCUGCUCUUCCCCGUGAGAAGCUCCCAUGAACACGCCAUGGUCGUCGCUCUAGAGACUUUCUCUAAAUUCAUGAAAUUCCUGACGGCCAUGGCGAAGAUGCAGUGCUCCUGCCGGGACUGCCGCUCUUAAAAAAAAAAAAAAAAAAAUAAAUAAAAGCGUAAAUUUUAAACUCUG
ensembl:lncRNA